UGAGAACAUUUUGCAGAGGUAUUUUACAAGACUGUUGGAAGGUAUAGGAAGAGUCGGCCACAGGUUCAAAUAAACUAUGCAAAG